rnacentral:snoRNA from 1 species
AGCACUUGUGUUUGCUUUUGUUUGACUUGUGGACAAAGACAUAGUAGACAGGUACGAAAAAAUAAAUCUUCUUUUGCAACCCAUGAGUUGUUAUAUAUGCAAGAGGGAAUAUU